rnacentral:tRNA from 2 species
GCCGGAAUAGCUCAGUUGGUAGAGCAGAGGACUGAAAAUCCUCNUGUC